GUCGGCGGUAGCGUGGCCAAUUCGGGCCCUGCAGAGGCCGGCAGCCGUCGUGCGCGUCGUCGUCGCCGGCGCC
rnacentral:tRNA from 1 species